rnacentral:rRNA from 1 species
UUACGGGAGGCAGCAGUGGGGAAUAUUGCACAAUGGGGGAAACCCUGAUGCAGCAACGCCGCGUGAGCGACGAAGGCCUUCGGGUUGUAAAGCUCUGUCUUCUCUGACGAAUAAAUGACGGUAAGAGAGGAGGAAGCCACGGCUAACUACGUGCCAGCAGCCGCGGUAAUACGUAGGUGGCAAGCGUUGUCCGGAAUUAUUGGGCGUAAAGGGUGCGUAGGUGGUCUUUUAAGUGGGAUGUGAAAUACCUGGGCUUAACUCAGGGAUUGCAUUCCAAACUGGGAGACUUGAGUGCAGGAGAGGAAAGUGGAAUUCCCAGUGUAGCGGUGAAAUGCGUAGAGAUUGGGAGGAACACCAGUGGCGAAGGCGACUUUCUGGACUGUAACUGACACUGAGGCACGAAAGCGUGGGGAGCAAACAGGAUUAGAUACCCUCGUA